rnacentral:rRNA from 1 species
UACGUAGGGUGCGAGCGUUGUCCGGAAUUACUGGGCGUAAAGAGCUCGUAGGUGGUUUGUCGCGUCGUCUGUGAAAUUCCAGGGCUUAACUCCGGGCGUGCAGGCGAUACGGGCAUAACUUGAGUACUGUAGGGGAGACUGGAAUUCCUGGUGUAGCGGUGAAAUGCGCAGAUAUCAGGAGGAACACCGGUGGCGAAGGCGGGUCUCUGGGCAGUAACUGACGCUGAGGAGCGAAAGCAUGGGUAGCGAACAGGAUUAGAUACCCU